rnacentral:lncRNA from 1 species
CCUCUUUCUUUCUACAUUAUGCACAAUCAAUCCCCCUUGUUCUCUCUCUCUCUAUAUAUAUCUCCCUCACACACCCUCAUUCCUUCCAUUCUCUUUCUCUCAUAAGCUCUCUAUCCCCUCUCUCUAAUCUGUUCUCUCUCUUUCCCUAGACUAAACCUCAAAGAUUUUGUUUGCUGCAGAGAGGAGCCAAGAACCUGGGAGCAGAAAGCAAGUUGGAAGACCCAUCUUUCAUCAAGAGAUCAUCAUUAAGAAAUUUAUGGUAAACUUUGCUCUCAAAGUUCCAACUUGUUUGGUUCAGUGGCUACAUCAUGGGCAGAUGUAGAAGAACCUAUGCCGCAGGCCUUGUUCAUUCCAAUUCCCUCGGUGAGUUUCC